rnacentral:rRNA from 1 species
AAAGUUUGAUCAUGGCUCAGGAUGAACGCUAGCUACAGGCUUAACACAUGCAAGUCGAGGGGCAGCAUGAACUUAACUUGCUAAGUUUGAUGGCGACCGGCGCACGGGUGAGUAACACGUAUCCAACCUGCCGAUGACUCGGGGAUAGCCUUUCGAAAGAAAGAUUAAUACCCGAUGGCAUAGUUCUUCCGCAUGGUGGAACUAUUAAAGAAUUUCGGUCAUCGAUGGGGAUGCGUUCCAUUAGGUUGUUGGG